AAACCUAUCCGGCAGGGGAGAGACCGUGGUCAAAAUGGUGGUUAUCCCAGGACGUGACAAUCCCAUUACAUUUCGGGUGUGUUAACAUCUAUGAUGUCCCCGAUGAUGGGACACUCAACUGCCACAUUUGUGGUAGUGGGGGACUACGUAACGUUUACAUUUA